UACGGAGGGGGCAAGCGUUACUCGGAAUUAUUGGGCGUAAAGGGCGCGUAGGCGGUCGUGUGCGUCGAGGGUGAAAUCCCCGGGCUUAACCCGGGAGCUGCCUUCGAUACGGCACGGCUUGAGUCCGGGAGAGGGGAGCAGAAUUCCAGGUGUAGCGGUGAAAUGCGUAGAUAUCUGGAGGAAUACCGGUGGCGAAGGCGGCAUCCUGGACCGGCAUUGACGCUGAGGAGCGAAAGCUAGGGGAGCAAACGGG
rnacentral:rRNA from 1 species